rnacentral:rRNA from 1 species
AGCGAACGCUGGCGGCAGGCUUAACACAUGCAAGUCGAGCGGGCGUAGCAAUACGUCAGCGGCAGACGGGUGAGUAACGCGUGGGAACAUACCUUUUGGUUCGGAACAACACAGGGAAACUUGUGCUAAUACCGGAUAAGCCCUUACGGGGAAAGAUUAUCGCCGAAGAUUGGCCCGCGUCUGAUUAGCUAGUUGGUGAGGUAACGGCUCACCAAGGCGACGAUCAGUAGCNGGUCUGAGAGGAUGAUCAGCCACAUUGGGACUGAGACACGGCCCAAACUCCUACGGGAGGCAGCAGGUGGGGAAUAUUGGACAAUGGGCGCAAGCCUGAUCCAGCCAUGCCGCGUGAGUGAUGAAGGCCCUAGGGUU